UACGAAGGGGGCUAGCGUUGCUCGGAAUCACUGGGCGUAAAGCGCACGUAGGCGGAUCGUUAAGUCAGGGGUGAAAUCCUGGAGCUCAACUCCAGAACUGCCUUUGAUACUGGCGAUCUUGAGUUCGAGAGAGGUGAGUGGAACUGCGAGUGUAGAGGUGAAAUUCGUAGAUAUUCGCAAGGACACCAGUGGCGAAGGCGGCUCACUGGCUCGAUACUGACGCUGAGGUGCGAAAGCGUGGGGAGCAAACAGG
rnacentral:rRNA from 1 species